rnacentral:tRNA from 1 species
GGGUGAUUAGCUCAGCUGGGAGAGCACCUCCCUUACAAGGAGGGGGUCGGCGGUUCGAUGUUUUUGCUGGAUGAACCGCUCUCUAACCUG